UACGUAGGAGACGAGCGUUGUCCGGAGUUACUGGGCGUAAAGGGUGCGCAGGCGGCCCUGCGCGUCGCGAGUGAAAUCUCCCGGCUCAACUGGGAGGGGGCGGCGGAGACUGGGCGACUGGAGGGACCUAGAGGCCGGUGGAAUUCCCGGUGUAGUGGUGAAAUGCGUAGAGAUCGGGAGGAACACCUGUGGCGAAGGCGGCCGGCUGGGGGUACCCUGACGCUGAGGCGCGACAGCGUGGGGAGCGAACCGG
rnacentral:rRNA from 1 species